AACGUAGGAGACAAACGUUAUCCGGAGUUACUGGGCGUAAAGGGCGUGUAGGCGGUUUGUUAAGUCUGGCGUGAAAGCUCUCGGCUAAACCGGGAGAGGUCGUUGGAUACUGGCAGACUAGAGGACGGUAGAGGCGUGUGGAAUUCCGGGUGUAGUGGUGAAAUGCGUAGAGAUCCGGAGGAACACCAGUGGCGAAGGCGACACGCUGGGCCGUACCUGACGCUAAAGCGCGACAGCAUGGGGAGCGAACAGG
rnacentral:rRNA from 1 species